UGGGUAGACUAAGAUGGAACUGGGGUCUCC
rnacentral:piRNA from 1 species